rnacentral:piRNA from 2 species
UUCUAUUAGAAAAGUCCAUGAAGAAGCUGU